CUCCUACGGGAGGCAGCAGUGGGGAAUAUUGCACAAUGGGGGAAACCCUGAUGCAGCAACGCCGCGUGAAGGAUGACGGUUUUCGGAUUGUAAACUUCUUUUCUUAGUGACGAAGACAGUGACGGUAGCUAAGGAAUAAGCAUCGGCUAACUACGUGCCAGCAGCCGCGGUAAUACGUAGGAUGCAAGCGUUAUCCGGAUUUACUGGGUGUAAAGGGAGCGCAGGCGGGACUGCAAGUUGGAUGUGAAAUACCGUGGCUUAACCACGGAACUGCAUCCAAAACUGUAGUUCUUGAGUGAAGUAGAGGCAAGCGGAAUUCCGAGUGUAGCGGUGAAAUGCGUAGAUAUUCGGAGGAACACCAGUGGCGAAGGCGGCUUGCUGGGCUUUAACUGACGCUGAGGCUCGAAAGUGUGGGGAGCAAACAGGAUUAGAUACCCUGGUAGUCCACACUGUAAACGAUGAUAGCUAGGUGUGGGGGGUCUGACCCCUUCCGUGCCGGAGUUAACGCAAUAAGCUAUCCACCUGGGGAGUACGACCGCAAGGUUGAAACUCAAAGGAAUUGACGGGGGCCCGCACAAGCAGUGGAUUAUGUGGUUUAAUUCGAAGCAACGCGAAGAACCUUACCAGGUCUUGACAUCCGACUAACGAGAUAGAGAUAUGUCAGGUGCCCUUCGGGGAAAGUCGAGACAGGUGGUGCAUGGUUGUCGUCAGCUCGUGUCGUGAGAUGUUGGGUUAAGUCCCGCAACGAGCGCAACCCCUGCCAUUAGUUGCUACGCAAGAGCACUCUAAUGGGACCGCUACCGACAAGGUGGAGGAAGGUGGGGACGACGUCAAAUCAUCAUGCCCCUUAUGACCUGGGCUACACACGUAAUACAAUGGCCGUUAACAGAGGGAAGCAAAGCGGUGACGCAGAGCAAAACCCUAAAAACGGUCCCAGUUCGGACUGUAGGCUGCAACCCGCCUACACGAAGUUGGAAUUGCUAGUAAUCGCGGAUCAGCAUGCCGCGGUGAAUACGUUCCCGGGCCUUGUAACACCGC
rnacentral:rRNA from 1 species